rnacentral:rRNA from 1 species
GAGCGGUAGAAAGGAGCUUGCACCUCUUGAGAGCGGCGGACGGGUGAGUAAUGCCUAGGAAUCUGCCUGGUAGUGGGGGAUAACGUUUGGAAACGGACGCUAAUACCGCAUACGUCCUACGGGAGAAAGCAGGGGACCUUCGGGCCUUGCGCUAUCAGAUGAGCCUAGGUCGGAUUAGCUAGUUGGUGAGGUAAUGGCUCACCAAGGCGACGAUCCGUAACUGGUCUGAGAGGAUGAUCAGUCACACUGGAACUGAGACACGGUCCAGACUCCUACGGGAGGCAGCAGUGGGGAAUAUUGGACAAUGGGCGAAAGCCUGAUCCAGCCAUGCCGCGUGUGUGAAGAAGGUCUUCGGAUUGUAAAGCACUUUAAGUUGGGAGGAAGGGCAUUAACCUAAUACGUUAGUGUUUUGACGUUACCGACAGAAAAGCACCGGCA